GCAACCAAACGGUUUUGUUUUUUUACGGCUUUUUACAUUUUUAGCCUUAAAACCCACUCGUUAGAGCAAAUGCAGUUCAGAUCCAUCUUAUAUUAUAUAUGUAUAUUGUUAUUGUUUUAUUUUAUAAUAUAUUGUGAUAAGGUUAAAUUUGGAAUAUGUUUGACAUGAAACUGGAAUUUCUUUAUUUGACAGUUAAAUCUAAUAUCUUAAGCUAUAGAAGAACUUAUCUA
rnacentral:misc_RNA from 1 species